GUCCCCGUCGUCUAGCCCGGCCUAGGACAUCGCCCCUUCACGGCGGUAACGCGGGUUCGAAUCCCGCCGGGGACGCCA
rnacentral:tRNA from 1 species